CUGGUAAGUGACGAAGAUCUUCUUUGCUUGGAGCUAUGUAUUCACCAUCACUUCCAUUCAAUUUCCUGCAAAUUACACAUUGCCACUGGCCUGAACCAAGUAAUAUCUUGCAAUAGAGAUUUGCAUAAGCUCCACAAUUUUGGCAACGAUGGGGAUCACGCUGUGUUAUCUGAGGUCCUGGUGAAAUCUCCCUCCCAGGAGAAAUCAAAGCCCCAAAACCCAAACUGGAUACAUUUGCAAGUUUCUUCUGCUUCAGCACCUUGUGAGCAGAGAAUAAGACACAUGGUAAUUCCUCAAUGGAUAUUGAAUCCUCUGUAGCUUGGGGAACUUGGUGCUGCAACUCUACUGACCCAUUUGAGAAAUGGGGUGGUGAUGAUGUGGGCAAUGAUGAUCCUGUCGAGAAAGCAACUGGCUGAGGGGUUGCAGGAGAAGUCCGAAAAGGCACAGCAGCGGGCCGGACUGGAGAAGUAAAAACAGGAGGGCCAGGGGGAGUGCUUAAAUGAGGAAUCGGGCUUCCACUUUUUAUCCCAUUGAAUGGUGAUAGUAAAUUUGGAGUUUUGAUUGAGGGAGAAGGGUUUUGAUCUUGUUGCAAAUUAGGAGAAGAAAAUCUAGGGGCUCCAGGUAGCAUUGGAGGAGAAGGAGGAAUUGGAGUUUUCUCAGGUUGAGGUGUUGAUGUAUCGGGGUUCGUAGGAGUAACAGUGAGAGGAUACCCAAGGGAAGGUUGUGGUUGUGGUUGUUUAGCCAUUGAAAUUCAAUGUUUUCUUUAUUGAAGAGAAAGAACUUUCAAGAUCCCAAAACCAAAUAUCAGAUUUUUAAGAAAGUUAUAAACAAUUCUAACUGAAAAUCAAUGACAAGAGGUUCAGCCUUCAGAGUAAGGGCCCUGAGACUGCAGUGAAUUUCAAUGGGUUAUUCAUAAAAGUUUA
rnacentral:misc_RNA from 1 species